UACGUAGGGUGCAAGCGUUGUCCGGAAUCAUUGGGCGUAAAGCGCGCGUAGGUGGCUUCGUAAGUCCGUUGUGAAAGUCAAAGGCUCAACCUUUGAAUGCCGAUGGAUACUGCGAAGCUAGAGUACGGAAGAGGCGAGUGGAAUUCCUGGUGUAGCGGUGGAAUGCGCAGAUAUCAGGAGGAACACCAAUGGCGAAGGCAGCACUCUGGGACGUGACUGACGCUGAGACGCGAAAGCGUGGGGAGCGAACAGG
rnacentral:rRNA from 1 species